AUGCCACAGAUGUGUCCAAUAUCCUUCCACGAAAUGAAUGUGAUAAGGAUCAAACUGAAACGCAAGUUAACCUACAAAGGGCAUUAUGAGUACAAGUAUGUACACACUGAUCGUGUUCGAAAUGCUCUGAAAUAUUUGAUCAGGUUCAAUAAGUGGUUUGGUGAUGUGGAGAUUAAUCAGCAGUGGAUCAACUCUUUGAAUGAACCUGAAGAAAAUGUUGUAGAUGAAAUGGAGCAACAAGAUGUAGUUGAAAAGAUUGAUGAUGAAAAUGACCCUGAUGAACAGCAAGAGGAAGACCUUACCUACAUCAAAGAGCAAAGCGGUCUUUUGUCAGAUACAUCAUUGCAACCUGUGGACAUCGGUUCAGAAGUAAUUGAUCAGCAUUUCCAGGAUGUAUUAAAUCUGGCACCGGCUGAAGGUAACAGUCCUGUUAGUUUGUUAUCUGAUAGGUCUAAUGAAGCAAAAUGUUUCCCUGUUCUCUAUCCAACUGGUGGUCCGACGUUUCAUGAUAAGAGGGAGGUAAAAAUAACUUUGUCAAGAUACUUAAAUGCAAGAAUCCUCAAUGCAGAUGGACGUUUUGCACGGAGCACAGACUUCAUUUUCUAUGCACAGUAUUUGUCGGAGGUUGAUCAAGUUGUAUCUAAUGUUUCAAUUGCUUUACGCAAAGGAUCUGAGAAGAGUUUGUUGACUGAAGUAACAUCGGAUGUGCUAACAAACCCAGACUCGUUAUCUAAAAUAUUGAAUUUUGAUGAAGGAUACAAGUUUUUGAGACCAAUCCGUGGAACACCACCAUAUUGGCAGUUUACUCAAGAAGACCUUUUUGCACUUGUAAGACAGCUAGGUAUUCCGACUUUCUUUGCGUCCUUUAGUUCUGCGGAUCUCAGAUGGCCUGAAAUGAUUAGUACCAUAAUCAAACAAGAAGGGAAAAAUCUGAAAGCAGAUGAACUUGACUGGUCUGAAAAAUGUGGACUGAUUAGACGAAACCCAGUGACUGCAGCAAGAAUGUUUGAUCAUAGAUGGCAUUGUUUUCUGAGAGAUGUAAUCAUGUCUUCAGCUCAACCGAUUGGGAAGAUAAUAGAUUACUUUUAUCGUGUAGAGUUUCAACAGCGUGGAUCUCCUCAUGUUCAUUGUCUGUUUUGGGUUGAAAAUGCACCAAAGUUAAAUGAAGACGAUGAAGAAAAUGAUGGUUUGGUUGCUAGUUUCAUUGAUCGUUACAUCACUUGUGAGACCCCAAGAGAGGAUGAAACUGAACUGUUUGAGACCGUCAAUGGUGUUCAGAAGCACAGUGUUAGACAUUCAAAGACGUGUCGUAAGAAAAAGACAGUUUGCAGAUUUAAUUUUCCACGACCCCCAUCUAGCCGUACCUUUAUUACAAGAGGUGGUAGUCGAGAUGAUUUGAAAAGCAGUGACGGAAAAGAUACUGCACGUACAAUUUUAGAAAAAGUCAAAAAGGCUUUAACAGCUUCUGAUAUGAAUUAUGAUUCAACAGUUUUUGAGUCCAUUGGUAUUAACCAAGCUCUCUUCGAGAAAGUGUACAUGCAGUGUUCCAAAAAGAAAACAGUUGUCCUGAAAAGAAGUCCAAAAGAUGUCUGGGUGAACCAGUAUGUCACUGAUGCUUACUCUGUAGUGGUUUACAUUAUUAGUUACAUCACAAAAGCAGAACAAAAAAUGGGUUUGUUGCUGCAACGUGCGCAAAAUGAUCUCGCUUCAAGAUUUCCAUUCAUGGCUUCAUCACUGAAAAUGCUUGGUAGUGCAUAUCUUCACAACAGAGAAGUUUCUGCUCUAGAGGCUGUGUAUCGUCUGACCGGUAUGCACUUGAAGGAAUGUUCUCGUAAAGUCCAGUUUAUUCCAAUUGGAUUGAAUCCUGUAAAGAUGAGUUUGCCUCUUUGUGUCAUCAAAAACAAAGUUGAUCAGUCUGGUGAAGAAACUAGCUUUUGGAUGACUAGUCUGGUUGACAGAUACAAGAAUAGGCCAAACACAGAGGACUUUGAGAUUCAAUGUCUUGCAAGUUUCUGCUCUGAAAACAGGAUGUUGUCAAAAUCGGAGGUUUCUUCACAAAAAAAAGUCUUCAGAAGACAAGGUGAUUAA
ensembl:lncRNA